AUACUCCUAUUUACAGCCAAGGGCAGUCAGUAGCUCUAAUUGCAAUCUGAUUUUGUUGGCUAUAAAGAAAAGCUAUCCACACUUUAACAUCCAGCAAACAAACUUCUUCUCAAAAAGCCCUUCUACAUUUAACCUUAAUGUAAAGGAAGCCUGUUCAUUUGCUGACACUCAGCGCUCUGAACCACUUCACAGGAUUAUAACAGGAAUACAACAUGCGUGGAGUACAAGAUGGAAACUGUUCUCAAGUUGCAAAAGAAGAAGUCAGGAAGCCAGAACAUCUUGGAUAAAGAACAAAUACAGAAUGACUUUUUCUGCCACUUCGAAAAGAAAACAAUUCACAGCUAUGGAACACUCCAUCUCCCCAAGGAUGUGUCAGAUGCAUUCCAGUUAAUGUGUCCAUGUGUUUUCUCAUUCUCCACGCAUGGAACAUGAAUGUUCCUUCUACAGACGGUGAGAGGAAAAAAUAUUCCCAACUCUCAGCUGUUCAGCCAUAAACAGUGUGUUCAUAGUUAUGUGAGCUACAUUGAGAUACAAAGCUACAGAUUCUGUAAUUCUUCAAAUGAAAAAUGCAUUACAGAGGUUUAUUAAUAGGCCCAGAAAGCCUUCCUUCUGUUUAUAAUGCAACUCUGUAGAAAAUCAUAUCAAUCAUAUUCCCAAAGGGGUAUUUUACCCCUCUGGAACAAAGGACAAAAAAAAAAACUCCAUAAAAUAGUACAACCAGAGACAAUUGUUCUGUACUGAUGUCCUCUGUUCCCGUAUGUUCUUAUUUUUGAACCAUGUAAGAAUUUCAAUCAUGGAACAGAACCAGAUGUAUCAGAGAAAGUCUUUUAAUCUUGGCACAUUCAGGCAAAAUCUGCUUUAAAUGACUAAACAUGACUAAACCUUAAAUAUUUAAUUUGGGAGAGUUGCCUACCUACCAGUGACACGCUGCAGUCACUCAGAGAAAACACUUCAAGAAACAGCCUAGGAAAGAUGCCAAAGCCAACACUCCACUCCUACCUCCCAAAAGGAAUGAAAUGAAUACUGCAUCUGCAGUUACAAAGAAAAAAAUCACUGGACAGGAGUUCAUCUUUGGAAAGACUAUUUUAAGAUUCUUCCAGAAGUACCACCUGUAUAUGAAGGAUGCGGGUUUAAGCUAGAACCAUCUUCACAUUAAGCUCUAUGCUGUUAGUUCAAAUAUGCUGGGAAAAAAUAAAAACAAACAAG
rnacentral:lncRNA from 7 species